CUUUAGACAUUGGUAAAAAAGAAACAGACCUCUGCUCUGCUAUACCAUUGAUUCAGAAAUUCAUCCCAAAUAAUAUAUAACAUCUCUUCCCAGGCUCUGAACUGAAAUCAAAUAUAAACUUUAGAUGAGCUUUGGGAAAAGUGAAAAAAAUGAACACAGUCUCUGAUUUUCAUGUAAUUUUGGAAAACUUUCUAGUUUAUGACUUCUUCCUUGAUAAUACAAACAAGGUAGUUUCAAUCAGUCUUCCUUUGCUUUUUGAAAGGUUUGUAUCUGAAACUGUUAGAGUAUGAAAUAUGAAAUUAAUUACAUGAUUAUAUUGACUUAAAAAAAACAAACUUUUGUCUCUCUCUUUCAGAAAAGCUUUGAUGUUUGGUUAUGAGUCUCAGUGGAUACAAAAGCUCAAUUUGGGUUUACUGAGUGGAAAUAAUGAAAAAAAAUUACUUUCUCAUAAUAUUUCCUUUUCUUCAACUUGUAGUAUCAUCAGAUAGGCCACUGGGUUGUAAAAUAAGAAAAUAAAAUAGAAUGAGUUCAGUUCUGGCAGAAAGCAUUAAAAGCAUCAAAACAGCCUUCUUCCCUCCUCCCCACUGUUAGCUUGUAUUUUCUUAGAAUUACAAUGACUUUUUUGCUUAUUUACUUUUUCUUUAAAAUCUUCACAUUUUACAUUUAAACAGUUGAAGUAGUUCUUACUGACAAAAUAUUAAAAAUAAUAAUUUCAUUUUACUCUGGUUUCAUGAUAGUUUAGAAAGAAAUAAUAAGAAAUAUCUCAGCCAUCUCUAGCAAAAAAAAUGAGAUAAAUUAUUUAGCUAAGAAAUCCCAAUCUCCACUAAUCAUUAAUUUGUACAUUGUUCUUCCCACAGAAAUACUCCUGAGGGAUGGAAUAGCUUUUGCUUUGGUUUCCUACAAUGAGUAUUCAUUCCUUAACAAGCCUUUUUGGAAGAAAUUUAUUAAUCUCCAGCUUCACAUUGAGAGGAUGUAUGAAAACAGUAUCAUGGUGCAAUGUGAAGUUUGCAGUCCCAGGGUAAAAGAGAGUUACAGUUGACAACACCAAGAAGAUGUAUUUCAUUUUCAAAAGAUAAGAAAACAACUGCCUUACAAAAAGCAGAGAUUAAUAGCUUUAUCUGAUAAAGCCAUGUUUGAAAUGAGAUCACUAAAUUUAGAGAAAAUUAUCUCCAUCAUUUUCCUCUUUUUCUUGAAUCCUUAUAUAAUUACUCAGUUUUAAUCAGCUUUGUCUAUCUCAGACAUUUGGUAAAUUUGAUAUUUUAACAGUACGUAGAAAUGAAAAGCAAAAUACCCAACAACUUUAUAAUCAUACUCUAAAAAAAUCUGAUUUAUAAAAUUUCAGUUGGGAAAUCAGUAUUAUUAUCACCACUUCAUACCUCAGCUCAGAUCCAGUAAAGUGUUUGCAUUGAUUUAUCCAAAAUAUGCUUAUUAUUUUACCUGGUGUUCAUUGCAAUUAAUUACAUCCCUUUUCAAAACAAUUGGCUCAAAUUAGGACUGUAGUCCACAUAAAUAGAACAUUGAAAAGUGAAGUUGUCUAUGAAAUGAUGGAAAUGAAACUAACCUCAUCAGCACCCUCUUGAGAUUGACAGAUCUAACUAAGCUGGGAUAUUUCUCUAAAAUUGGAUAAAUAAUAUUCAGUGGAUUUUUUCCAUUCUAUAGAGAAUCUAACUCUACAGACAUCCAGUAUAUUCAGUUAAAAAAUUGCAAUGAACCUAUUGUAUUUGUUAAAUGUAUAUAUGUAUAAGAAAGAAAAAGUGUGGUUUUAGUCUUAGUUCUGGUAAUAACUAUCAGUGUAUGUUUAGAAAUCCAUCUUUUUGUUACUAGUUUUUUUAAUCAAAAAAAUUAAAAGAUUGAAUCAGUCU
ensembl:lncRNA